GCCUAAGAAGCUGGUGAUGUCCAG
rnacentral:piRNA from 1 species